GACGAACCGAGCGAACGUUGUUCGGAAUCACUGGGCUUAAAGCGCACGUAGGCGGCUUUCUAAGUCAGGGGUGAAAUCCCGGAGCUCAACUCCGGAACUGCCUGUGAUACUGGAGAGCUUGAGUUCGGGAGAGGUGAGUGGAACUGCGAGUGUAGAGGUGAAAUUCGUAGAUAUUCGCAAGAACACCAGUGGCGAAGGCGGCUCACUGGCCCGAUACUGACGCUGAGGUGCGAAAGCGUGGGGAGCAAACAGG
rnacentral:rRNA from 1 species